rnacentral:ncRNA from 2 species
CAUUGCGGGAGAGGCGCAACACUCAGGCAGUUUAAUCCAAGGCAACUAGGGCCGUUUGAGGAUUAAAUGAUGGGAGUGCUUGCCGAGGUGUGAAUUCACUAGACUGGAAUGAACAUCGGCUGAGUCAGGUUGAAUCCUAUCAGCUGUCAUUUAACGCAAGUUUAAAUGGAGUGCUCUGAUUAA